AUCUGAUUUCUUAUCCUUCUCACCGCUCAACUCCUAUCCCUUAUCCUUCCACGAUGUGCUCGUCGGCUGCCCUGCAGUUCCCCCAUGGACGCCUCCUUUCUAAUCUGUGUGCAGGGGUUUCCUUCCCAUGGUCGCCCUCAACCCCAUGGUCGACCUCGCCUAGCCCUUCCCCCAUCUCCUCCCCAAGCUCGGCUCGGCAUGGAGGCUGGCCACAGGACGCAGCACACCAACCUCACCGGCCAUACCCUCUGCUUUUCCCCACUGUCCGCAGCCCCGGUGUCGUCGUCGUGAUUAGACAUGUGUGGCGAAAAGAAAGAUUCUAGAGUUUGGUGGGAAAGGAAAGCUCUAUCACGACGAUCACCAGGUACGUUCAUUGAUCACGUAUUGUGGAGGACAACAACAACUGGAAUAAUCUCAAAGUGGGAUUGAUGAAUGAACCCAAAGCUGAAUGAUCUGAUCGUACUGGAAUGGGAGGUGCUCGCCAAGCGAGUAUCAUCUAACAACACUGACUUAGUGUUUAUCCCAGGCAAGCCCCGGUGCAUUUGCUACCUCCUUGUUGUUAUAAAACUUUUAUCACUUAUAUGUUGCAUUAGGUGAUAGGAGUUGAGUGAUGAAACAAUUGAUGCAAUGCCAUUCCUUGGAAUUUGAUUACUAUUCCUUGAUUCCUGUUUAUAAAA